GGCCUAAAAAAAUUUCUGAAGUGCAAAUUUAGAUAUGAAGUUUAACUUCUUGGGCCU
rnacentral:tRNA from 1 species